rnacentral:rRNA from 1 species
GUAGCCGGCCUGAGAGGUGACCGGCCACAUUGGGACUGAGAUACGGCCCAGACUCCUACGGGAGGCAGCAGUGGNNNAUAUUGCACAAUGGGCGAAGCCUGAUGCAGCAACGCCGCGUGCGGGAUACGGCUUCGGGUUGUAAACCGUUUCGCCUGUGACGAAGCGUG